rnacentral:rRNA from 1 species
ACUCCUACGGGAGGCAGCAGUGGGGAAUAUUGCACAAUGGGGAAACCCGUAGCAUGCAGCCAUGCCGCGUGUGUGAAGAAGGCCUUCGGGUUGUAAAAGCACUUUCAGUCGUGAGGAAAGGGUUGUAGUUAAUACCUGCAAUCUGUGACGUUAGCGACAGAAGAAGCACCGGCUAACUCCGUGCCAGCAGCCGCGGUAAUACGGAGGGUGCGAGCGUUAAUCGGAAUUACUGGGCGUAAAGCGUGCGUAGGCGGAUGAUUAAGCGAGAUGUGAAAUCCCGGGGCUCAAGCCUCGGAACUGCAUUUCGAAC